AUGGCAUGGUUUCUGUUGCUCUUCCCCUUCUCCCUCUUGUUUGUGCAUUACUGGUUCACUGGGAAGGCAGGAAAAAAACAUAAGCAUGAGGGAGAAGACUGCCUCCAGCUCCCACCUUCGCCGCCGGCACUUCCCAUCAUCGGGCACCUGCACCUCAUCGGCUGCCUCCCACACGUCUCCCUCCGUGGCCUCGCCAGGAGGCAUGGCCCCGACGUGAUGCUCCUCCGCCUCGGCAUCGUGCCGACGUUUGUCGUGUCGUCACCGCGUGCCGCCGAGGCGGUGCUGCGCACGCACGACCAUGUGAUGGCGUCACGGCCACGCUCCCUAGUCAACGACAUCAUCAUGUACGGCGCAUCCGACGUCGCAUUCGCGCCAUAUGGCGAGUACUGGCGGCAGGCUAGGAAGCUCGCCACCACCCACAUGUUGAGUGCUAAAAAGGUGCGGUCUUUCCGCGGCGCCGUCAUGGAUGAGGUGAGCAUAGUGAUGGCCAAGAUCAGUGAUGCCGCCGCAGUAGGUGGUACUUUGGACAUGAGUGAGCUGCUCAGGUCAUUCGCGUAUGACAUGGCGUGUCGCAUCGUGUCGGGGGAGUCCUUUCUGAAAGAAAGACGGAGCAAGCUGUGCCAGGACCUUGCCAACGAUACCUCACGGCUGCUAGGAGGGUUCAACGUGGAGGAGUACUUUCCAAUAUUGACUAGGGUAGGAGUGCUUAAAAGAGCAGUUUGUGCAAAGGCUGAGAGAGUGAGGCAUAGAUGGGCCGAUUUGCUGGAAGAGCUGAUCGAUGAUCAUGAGAGCAAGGGCAAGUCAACAUUUGAUCAUAAGGGUGGCGAUUUCUUAGAUAUCCUAUUGUCUGCUCAGGAGGAGUACGGUCUCACAAGAGAUCACAUUAAAGCUCUAUUAACGGAUGUAUUUUUCGGUUUAACAAAUACGUCAUCUAACACCCUCGAAUUCACCUUGGCCGAGCUCAUGAGGAGGCCAUGCUUGAUGAGGAAGCUACAAGACGAGGUGAGGAGCAUCGUACCCCUGGGACAAGAAACCGUCAGUGAAACCGACAUUGACAAGAUGACAUACCUAAGAGCAGUUAUAAAGGAGUCACUCCGUUUGUAUCCUGUUGCACCUUUCCUUCCUCCACACCUAGCCAUGGGGGACUGCAAUGUCAUUGGGUACAUGGUUCCUGCUGGAACGCACAUCCUUGUCAAUGUAUGGGCCAUUGGUAGGGACUCCAACUCCUGGGAGGACGCAGAAGAGUACAUACCCGAAAGAUUUAUAGAGGAAGGCGGCGCUGUGCAUGUCAACUUCAAGGGGAAUGAUUUCCAGUUCUUGCCGUUCGGGGCAGGACGAAGGAUGUGCCCUGGUAUAAACCUCGGAAUCACCAAUAUCGAGCUUAUGUUGGCUAAUCUCAUGUACCAUUUUGAUUGGGAACUGCCAGCCGGGGUUGAGAGAAAGGACGUUGAUAUGGCAGAGGUGUUUGGGCUAACCGUGCGUCGAAAGAAGAAACUGAUGUUAGUUCCAAAAUCACGUAUGUAG
rnacentral:rRNA from 1 species